CCUCCUACGGGAGGCAGCAGUGAGGAAUAUUGGUCAAUGGGCGGGAGCCUGAACCAGCCAAGUCGCGUGAAGGAAGAAGGUACUUAGUAUUGUAAACUUCUUUUGUCGGGGAACAAAGGCGGAGACGCGUCUCCGGAUGAGUGUACCCGAAGAAAAAGCAUCGGCUAACUCCGUGCCAGCAGCCGCGGUAAUACGGAGGAUGCGAGCGUUAUCCGGAUUUAUUGGGUUUAAAGGGUGCGCAGGCGGGAGAUCACGUCAGCGGUAAAAUCGCGGGGCUCAACCUCGCUCCGCCGUUGAAACAGGCG
rnacentral:rRNA from 1 species